GGGUUUGUAGCUCAGGUGGUUAGAGCGUUGCUCUGAUAAAGCAAAGGUCGGUGGUUCGAGUCCACCCAGACCCACCA
rnacentral:tRNA from 1 species